UAGGCAUAUAUAAGUGAAAUCACUUGGUGUCUGUUUUGUGCAUGGCUCAUUUCACUUAAUACAAUGGUCUCCACUUCCAUUCAUGUUGUUGUGAAUAAUGAGAUAUUAUUUUUUAAUGACCAACCAGUAUUCGGUUGUAUACAGGCAACAAUUUUUCUUUAUCCACUGUUUACGUUUUCUGUCUAUUAUAAUACCAUGGGAAACUUUUUAAAAUAACUUUUUUUCUCUGAAUACUAUUGCUGGAAAUUCAAGAUCAAUAUUGUUGGAAACGUGCUGAGUGAUCUAAGUGCUGUUAUUUCCUGAUGUUUCUAACAUCUAUCUGUCUUUGUAGAGGAACUGCUGCUUCUAGAUCUUUUAGAGGGAAACCAUUUUGGUGCCCAUUGCCUGUCUAAAGAAUUCAACAGUAGAGAUGGCAAGAUGAAUAAUCUGAAAAUUGCAAAGUAGGGAGAGUGUCUGAAAACAAUAGCAUGGUUCAAGGACCUCAGUGUCACCUGCCGAGAAAGAAACUAUCACAUGCCUUACCUUCAAUAUUCUGCAGUUCUUUUAGCAACCUUUUCUUGUACAGUUUUCUAUUAGCUGCAAGAUAGAAAUGUCAAGUCUCAGGAGAUAAUGCCGUUACUCAGAAGUGGAAUAAAUGUCUGUAACUUAAGAAGCAGAAACUUUUAAAAUGCUAUAUUCUAACAACUAGUAUUUUCAUUCCAAUAAUAAAACUCAGGAAUGAAAACAAAUGCUUGGUGACAUGUUGGUGAUGGAUGGCAUGGGACAUCGUUAUUCAUCACACAAAUUCAUAUGCUUACUACUUCUCCAAGGCUGCUGUGGUAUCUUCUAAUGCUCACCGUCAGUUGGCAGUUUGCCCAGCAGUUUUAUCAUCUUGUUUUCUGGGAGUUUUAUCCCUAUAUUUUUCAGCAUCUAUAACACAGAGAGACCUCAGCAAGAGCUGAUACUGGACUAGGUUGCUAUGCUGAAAGAAGUACUUUCCUUGGACUGACACUGUCAUGGACCUUACUAAUUUUUAAAGUCGUAUGAAAAAAGUCGCCAUUCU
rnacentral:lncRNA from 1 species